AUGGGAACGCGAAGAACCUUACCUAGACUUGACAUCUCCUGAAUAGUGUAGAGAUACAUGAAGCCCUUCGGGGCAGGAAGACAGGUGGUGCAUGGUUGUCGUCAGCUCGUGUCGUGAGAUGUUGGGUUAAGUCCCGCAACGAGCGCAACCCUUAUUACUAGUUGCUACCAUUAAGUUGAGCACUCUAGUGAGACUGCCCGGGUUAACCGGGAGGAAGGCGGGGAUGACGUCAAAUCAUCAUGCCCCUUAUGUCUAGGGCAACACACGCGCUACAAUGGUGAGUACAGAUAGAUGCGAUACCGCAAGGUGGAGCCAAACUCUAAAACUCAUCCCAGUUCGGAUUGUAGGCUGCAACUCGCCUACAUGAAGUUGGAGUUGCUAGUAAUCGCGAAUCAGAAUGUCGCGGUGAAUACGUUCCCGGGUCUUGUACACACCG
rnacentral:rRNA from 1 species